rnacentral:rRNA from 1 species
CACCGCGGUCAAACGAGGUAGAGCCCGAGCAGAUGACCAACGGCGUAAAGAGUGGUUAGGGAACAUCCACAACUAAAGCUGAACACCCACAAGGCUGUGAUACGCAUCCGAUGGUAUGAAACCCCGCCACGAAAGUGACUUUAACCAGCCCGAACCCACGAUAGCCGGGGCA